AGAGGGGGCUCUGAAGAAAACACCUCCAGGUUCAGAGACUUUUAAUGUAACCGUGCUUUUCUCAGGCAGGAAGGGAUGGAGGAUAACUGCAGAUUAUGCAUACAGACGUGGAAGGAUGUUCGUCUGUACGCGGGCCCUUUAAAACCAGGACAGUCAGUCUCUUCUUAGCAGCCCCAUAGCAUCACCUGACUCUUGCUGUGGUUAUAGGGAAGGGACAGAACUCCUUUGCUAUUUCUUACUGCUUUCUCCAUUAUUUUCCCUAAGUGAAAUUAUUUAUUGGGCUUUAUCCUUGCAAACCUGAGAAUCCCAGUAAUAACACCCUAUCUAUCUACCUACCUAUCUAUCCAUCCAUCCAUCAAGUCCACAGCAGCAGCAUCAGGCCAGGUGCAAUUUGUACUUUUUUCUAGCACACAAGCCACUGUGGUUGCCUGUUUUGUUGUUGUUCAGUCUGUUGCCCACCGCUACCUUCUCCCUCCGGAGCCUGGCAUUCUAGUUUUGUCAGAAACCCCCAGGCUACGGGCAGUGGGUAGUUCCCUGCAGCCUCAGCAUCUCCUGGGUGAGGAAGUUCUGGCUUGCACAGGGGGCCUGCGGACCUGUAUUGGCUGAGUUCACCCAGCUGGAUCACUUUCCUCUGCCCCUGAAUUUGGACCAGGCAAUGUCUGAACCUCGUUUCCUCAAUGCCUGUUAAACUUCUCAGUCAUCAAUCAAUCCCGUUAGUGUAUUUUCUUUUCAGAUUAUUUGGUCCACAAGAGGACCCUGAGGCUACAGAGAGGGAUUGGUGCCAACUGUCCAAGAAGAACAUAGCUGUACCUCUCCAAAAGUAGCAUCUUCACUCCCCUCCUGUAAAAGUUAUCCUAUAACAUUUUAAUAAAAAUCUUGCCUUCUAAAUGGUUUUGACAUUUACUUUGACCUCUGAUAGAAGAACAGGAACUGGAAUUAUCUUCUCACUUGAAAACACUUGAAAGAAUUCCUGAUAAGAUAUAUGAAACAACAGUUUUAAUACACUAGAUAAUAAUAAUAAUAAUCAAGCACUGCAGGCCAGUGGGCUCGGAGAGAAGAAAAGCAAAUGGGUUGAGUCCUGUGCUUGCCCCAGCUGAUUGCAGCUCCGGGAGAGAGCACCACAGCAGAGCCCCGAGGUCUCCCUGAGCUGAGGAAACAGGCCUGGGGUCCAGAGAGGCCAAAGUGGGGGACCCUCAGAGGGCUGAGUACAAGAGAGGAGUGCGCUGCACAGCAGGAAAGCGGAGGGAUCUGAAGAGGGUCCCCUGUGGGACUGUCCACACGGGAGGAGACUGCUGAAGCUGCGGAAGGAACCACCAUCGGAGUUCACACAAAGCAACAUCUAUCAAUAGUUGGUGUCCCUGCUAGUCAGAGUAGAGAACUGUAAUUCAAACGGCUCUGGAUAGCAGAGCCUGACAUGUUUUGCUUCAGUAGGAGAGCAAAAUUAGCCAUGGGUUAAAGCCUCAAAAGUAUCAAACCGUUUAUAAGUAACAAUAUCCUACAACAAAGUAUAAGAAUAUGGGGAUACAGGUAUGUUCAAUAUGCAACAAGGUAAAAUUCAAAAUGUUUGGCAUCUAAUAAAAAAUGGCCAGGCAUGCGAGAAAUCAGAAGAUACAACCACUAAGAGGGGGGCGGGGGGCGGCGCAGGGGAGAAGGAAAGGAAACAGAAAUGACACGAAUAAUACAAUUAUUGUUUGUACAAAAGGCUAUUGUAACUAUAUAUUGCGUGGUCAAGAAGUAGAAAUGAGAUAGAGCAUGUGAAGUAGAGGCACAGAAGAUA